CGCUGUAGCUCAGUUGGUAGAGCAACGCAUUCGUAAUGCGUAGGUCGUGUGUUCGAGUCACAUCAGCGG
rnacentral:tRNA from 1 species